UACAGAGGGUCUCAAGCGUUGUUCGGAUUCAUUGGGCGUAAAGGGUGCGUAGGCGGCGCGGUAAGUCGGGUGGUGAAAUCCUUGGAGCUUAACUCCGAAACUGCAUUCGAUACUGCCGUGCUUGAGGGACUGGAGAGGAGACUGGAAUUUACGGUGUAGCGGUGAAAUGCGUAGAUAUCGUAAGGAAGACCAGUGGCGAAGGCGGGUCUCUGGACAGUUCCUGACGCUGAGGCACAAAGGCCAGGGGAGCAAACGGG
rnacentral:rRNA from 1 species